rnacentral:lncRNA from 1 species
CUAGAUACACUCCGACCGUUAGAUGUCGUGUCAUCUGUAUCAUAUACAUGAGUCCAUCCUUUAGUAGUCUACGAAGGUCAGUUUAUUGUACAUAAUUGAGUGGUUUGGUAAUUGACUUGUAUUCCUUGAUAUCGUGAAGUAGGCUUGAGGUGCUAGGCCUUGUUUUAUUUUCACUAACAUAUUGAGUUCUUUGUAGAGUGCGACUAUUAGGGUUGUUUGAGGAAAAGUAAUGUUCAAGUGUGGGAUGGUUUGAUUUCACUCAAUAUUAUAGUGAUAAUCACACCCACCUUGACUACUCUUUAGCUCGUUUUGAUGGUUUCUGGCCGGUUUGUAGUACCUUAUUGUGUUUGGAAAGGAUUCGUGUUUGCAUUCUCCCAAACAAACUAUUUCGAUC